rnacentral:rRNA from 14 species
GUUUGAUCCUGGCUCAGAAUGAACGCUAGCGAAAAGCUUAACACAUGCAAGUUGAAUGUUUUUUAAACAUAGCGAACGGGUGAGUAACGCGUAAGAAUCUACCAAAGAAUUUGUGUUGAUCACAAAUAGUUGUAAAGAUAUGUAGUAUCGUUUUUUGAUGAGCUUGCGUAAGAUUAGAUAGUUGGUGGGGUAAAGGCCUACC